rnacentral:rRNA from 1 species
GACGAACGCUGGCGGCGUGCCUAAUACAUGCAAGUCGAACGCAGUGGGGACGGGUGAGUAACACGUGGGUAACCUCCCAUCAGAGGGGAUAACACUUGGAAACAGGUUCCAAACCGAUACCGUUGGAUGGACCCGCGGUGCAUUAGCUAGUUGGUGGGGUAACGGCUUACCAAGGCCAAGAUGCAUAGCCGACCUGAGAGGGUGAACGGCCACACUGGAACUGAGACACGGCCCAGACUCCUACGGGAGGCAGCAGUAGGGAAUAUUCGACAAUGGACGAAAGGCUGAUCUAGCAACGCCGCGUGAGUGAAGAAGGUUUUCGGGUCGUAAAGCUCUGUUGGUAGUGAAGCGGUAUCUAACCAGAAAGCCACGGCUAACUACGUGCCAGCAGCCGCGGUAAUAC